UUCUAAUAUGGCAGAUUUAAUGCUCUAAAUUUAAGAUUUAGCUAUGAAAAUUCUAUUUCUUUUAGA
rnacentral:tRNA from 1 species